AUUUGUGCGUGCACACCCACUCCUGAGAAUGCUAAUGUACGUGACCUUGAACUCCCCAUUGCACGUGCCCUUCUGAAUACCAUAUGAUUAAGUACCUUUCGGCAUGUUAAUUUCAUCUCCAAAAGUUCUUAUACGAGGCCGCAGCAACUUGGAUUAUAUAUCCCUAGUCGUCGUCCACGGCGGGUGCGGUCGCCGACGCCGACGCCGCCACCUCCUCCGGCGCGGCCGCGGUGGUGUCCUUGGCCGCGGCGCUACCGCUCCCCUCGGAGCUUCCCUUGUUUUUCCGGCGGUUGGACUUCUUGGGAACGGCGGGGAGGUCCUGGCAUGUGCCCGAGGCGUCGUCGCCGGCCGACUUGUCCUGCUUCUUGCGGUUCUUUCGGGUUUGCAACAAGAGGAGGAUGAAGAUCGAAGACCAGCAAGAGCUGUAUAUAUUUGUGAGUGGCGAAGACAACCUUGAGAAGCCCAGGGAUUUGCAGCAGCCGUGCCCCCACUCUCACUCCUAAAAGAGGACGAGUCAAGCGGUGCCGAGUGGUAAUCCUUCAUCUGUCAAAACCAACCUUUUCUCGUCAUGCUACAAUAUCCACUACAUUACGAUGGAUUUUUUUUUACAUAAUAUAUGCUACAUGCAUGGACAUAACUAUUAUGAAUUGUCUUCAUGUCGACAAGGAAGACAUUGUUAAAAAUCAAGUAGAACACAUGCAUGCAUAAAGAUUGUUUGCAUAUAUGUAACAUUUUUCUUUUGCUCAAUGCCAAUGUCAAACAAUGUUGCCAGCUUACCCAGCUAGGUGCUCCGCCA